GAUUUUUAAAGAACAAUCGUUUAAACAGGAUCGGCACUGUGAUCUCAAAAUCUACUGUCUCUCACUGGACCUCAACAAUCACUGUUGGAAAGGGAGCUCUGUCCCGAGACACUCUCGAGUUACAUUGAGACUGAUGAUUCCCCAAUCUUCUACAAUGAACUUCACAUAGGAUGAACUGUUUCCAGUUUCAGCAAAACAGCAAGGAUUCAUUAUGGAUGACUGCACCUUACCACUCUUCACUAACACUGCCUGCAUCACCUGGGCCACAGAGAAAACAAUGCUACUUUUUUCUGGUCUUUCGAUGGUUGCAUUUUGUAUAAUUAUUUUUUGUUAACAUCAGUGUUAUUGUUACCAGUAUUUUACUUUAUGCACCUGUGUGACUCAAAAUUGUGCUUUGAGUACUUUAACUUUUAUAGACUGAACAUAAAAAAAGACAACAGAUUAAGAAUAUUUUAUUGUUUUAUUCUGUGAUAGCAUGAUGUCACACAACUAUAAAUAAAAAAAGAAAUCAUUUCAAAUCUUUGGUAAAUAAAUGAAAAGAACAAAAUCAACAAGUUCAAACUCUCACCAGAAUUUACUAUUUACAUUCACAUCUGAUCAGAAACACAGAUGGGCACAUUCACUUUAGGUAAUACAAACUAUAUAUGGGUAAUAAAUGAAUAAAAAUAUGUAGUAUAGCAAAAAAAAACAAGGUAAUUUUAUACUAAGAAAAGAAGCAAAACAAUUAAAAUUGGAUUUAAAAAAUAAACUAAAUCCCUGCAAUAAAGCUGCCGGAGCUUUCACAAACAGUGUCAGUCACGAUGCACAGUUCUUGAAUUAAACACACGUGUUUCUCACCAUCUUCUAGAAGAAGACAGUGUUAAAAGUGUUAUAGAGAGAUGACAUUAAGAUUGAACAUGCACAUGCUGUAUGGAAAACACACGUUAAUCAGAAAAGCACUGCUUUAGUACAACCACAUUCUUAUAUGAUCUAUACACAGCCCUAAAUCGACUUAUAAUCGAGAAACAAGUUAUACAUGUGAGAUUUUCAUUAGAUUUACAUUAGAUCAACAGUGCACAAUCACAUCUAGAGCUCCUGAUUUUGAGGUAUUGCAGGUUCACAUAAAAAGAAAUAUUAUUUUGGUUCAUCUUAAAAGAUUAUAUAUAUAUUUAUAUAGAGCAUAUUGAGGCUGCAUCUCUUUACUCAUCAAAGGAAUGUCUCCCCUGGAUCAUAGCAACUGUUUUCAGUGCAAUCUGAAAAAAAAAAAAAAUGAAAUUAAGAUUCUUAACAUA